GCGCAUCAGCCACGGCGCGGUGAAUACGUUCCCGGGCCUUGUACACACCGCCCGUCACACCAUGAGAGUCGAUAACACCCGAAGCCUGUGAGCUAACCUUAGGGAGGCAGCAGUCGAAGGUGGGGUUGAUGAUUAGGGUGAAGUCGUAACAAGGUAAC
rnacentral:rRNA from 1 species